AUAGACCCAAAGUGGUCGGACCCUUCCCUGGACCCUGCGCAAGCGGGAGCUACAUGCACCAGGAGGGCAUUGGUAAAGGAAAAAAAAAGAGAAAACUUGGAACUCGUGGUUCUUAUAGGCUGAGGGAACCUGAUAAGUUCAAGGGCCGGUUGGAGUUUUCUCUAAAGUUGAAGGGGCUCGACAUUGAGACCAUCCAGCAGUCUGUACACAGUGUGAUGAUCUGUGCUCCCAUGACUGCCUUCUGGGCUACAACUAAGGUGCACAAGUGGUUGUUUGCUGUGCGCGGGGAAGAAGGAGACCAGCAUCACCAAUGAGUCCGUCAUAGGUGCACAAGGGCCAUUUGCUGUGCGCUGGUGCGCGUGCGCCCAACAUCACCGGUUAGUCUGUCGGACUGCGCCGACGCUCAUCCCGACGCCUCUCGCCCUGCCUCUCCUCCUCCUGUGGCUUCUUCUUCAACUCCUACAUUGCCAAGCUUGCUCCCCGGAAGGUGCUGACAAGCUUCUGAAUCAAGGCUGCAGACUACAAGUGCAAGAUAUGCUAAUAUUCUGGUAAUCUGCGUGUGCACCGGGGAGAAGGUGACCAACACCACCAAUGAGUCCAUUGGAUUGUGCCGGCGCUCACUCGGGCGACGAUGCGGCCAUGGUGGAGGGUGGCCUUCGACGCCGACCCUGCCAGUGCCGAUGCCAUGGACCUCUUCGAGGUGGACAAGAGACCAUUUGCUGUGCGCGGGGAAGAAGGCGCCCAACAUCACCAAUGAGUCCGUCAUAGAUGCGGAUGCACGGCAGUGACAGUUUGGUGCCAUUGAGAUUGAUGAUGCCGACGUCGUUACCCCCAAAAGUGGGAAGGUGCCGAAGAGCCGAGACAUGGAAGUAUUAUUGUGUAAAAAGGCAAGAUGAGCGGGACUUGUGUUUUUCUCUGUUGGCCGGUAGCUGUGGAAGUGUGCCAAAUGAUAUAGCUGGUGAUAGUUAUUCUUGUACAUAAAAUAAAAAUGGAUGUGUUGCCUACUUGUGCUUUGCUUGUCGCUCAAUAUCGAUGUCUGUCAAUUACUAGUC